rnacentral:lncRNA from 1 species
UGAGAAAAAAGAAAAGAAAAGAAAAAACCCCCAAAGAGUCUGGAAACUAUGUGGGAUAGAUGGGAUAGAUGGAUGGACGGACAGACAGACAGACAGAGAAAAAAACCCAAGUCAUCUCCAGUUGGACCGCAAACCAGAUGGCAGAAGCUAUUAGCUUUAAUGGCAAAUGAGAACAAAGUAAGAUGGAAAAGUCUAUUCAAUGACACCCCGGCACAGUUUACUCAGGUUUUAAACAUGAUGUUGUCACAAAUAAUCUAUGCUAGACUGAUCUGUUGCAUGUGCCCAUUCAGAAUACCAGAUUGGAAUGAAGCAAACAGAUGGCAUUGUCGCAUGACAAGCAUGUCGGGUCACACUGCACACAAUGUCAAACACAGAGUCAACAUGGAGUCAUUGUGCUAUUUUAAUUACUUUGUUUUAACAACAUCGCAGACAACAGCCACUACUUUGUAAAACAUGCCAGCAUGAUAUAUAGUCAGCCCAGAUGUUGUCAUAAGAAGAAUCUGUGAUACAGCACAAUAUGGGAUUAGUUAUCAUAAAUUUGAACAUGUUAAAUUUAUGACAUCUUGCAAUAUUGCAAGAUUUGAAAUGUUGCAUUAUUCAAAUUUAAGACGUUUUUCAAUGUAGCAUUAUUUAACGAGUAAAACUGAUGACAUUUUGGAAUGUUGCAUUCAAGAAUUCAACUUUAGGAAAAAAAAUUCAAUGAUGCACAAUUUAAAUUUAAGACGGUGCAAUAUUGCACACCAUUAAUUGCCUGUAAUUUAAUAAGAGAUGAUUCUAGACAUCAUCAUGACCAAAACUGUUGGGUGCUUAUAGAAUAUAACAAUUAAUGACUAAAUAGUUCAACAUGAACUUGUACAUCAACUCUGAACUCAUUUUAUAAUUGUUUUUAAUUUGUCUACAAAAAUAUUUCAUUAGCCAUGCUAUGACAACAAGUCUUUGAUCUCAAAUAAGAUGUCUAAACCCAGAUACAGGAAAAGAAACACUGACAAUACAGGUUAUGGUGACAUCUCAAGAUACUACAGACGUUCACCAAAGAGGUGAAGAAGACUUUAACACAAACAUGGGGAAUAUAGCAAGGCAACAAUAAAAUAAACAGACCUAACACUACGUUGAUAGACUGUGUGUGCUGCUAAUGUGGUAUGCAGGAAGGGGAAAAACAUUUCCUUAUAGCACCAUUAGUCUGCCAAUGUAAGAAAGUAAAUGCACAUGUGUAUUUCUUACAAUACUGUUUUUUUUUGUGUAGCUAAAAAAAGAAUACUGGAAUUUGUUUAAGCAGUGCUUAUAAGGAAGAGGAUGUAGAGAAAAUGUAAUUUAAAUACACAGCAGACUAAAACUAUUUUAAUGUUCUUUUCCAGAUAAUAUGGAAACUUAAUUCAUGCUUCUAUGAAUAUAAUAUAUGUACAGAACUCGAAAUAAAAAGUAAAAUAUGGCCUGGUGUUAUUUUUAAAAAAUAGCAGGCCAAGAGAAAAAACAAAAUGGUCUGCUGAAUAUAAGAUCAGCACUGGGUGAGUGGAUGAUUUGGGACAGUGUGUGGAAAAUUGGGACCUUUGAGAUGUAUUUUAGAACAUUAUGAAAUUACAAUAUAACAGAAUCAUGGACUAAAUAGAAGAUGAGAUAAUCAUACAUAUAUCAGUCUGUUGAAAAAUUACUUGCACAUUUUUGAUAAUUUUAGCAUGCGAUUUUCUAUUCCACUUGCUAGGUGUAAAAAAUGGACUGCCUUUUGCAGACCAUAUUUGGAGCCCUACCCCCUUGCUUAUAAACCUUAAAGUCUAGACUUUA